AGUGAACGCUGGCGGUAGGCCUAACACAUGCAAGUCGAACGGCAGCACAGUAAGAGCUUGCUCUUACGGGUGGCGAGUGGCGGACGGGUGAGGAAUACAUCGGAAUCUACUUUUUCGUGGGGGAUAACGUAGGGAAACUUACGCUAAUACCGCAUACGACCUACGGGUGAAAGCAGGGGAUCUUCGGACCUUGCGCGAUUGAAUGAGCCGAUGUCGGAUUAGCUAGUUGGCGGGGUAAAGGCCCACCAAGGCGACGAUCCGUAGCUGGUCUGAGAGGAUGAUCAGCCACCCUGGAACUGAGACACGGUCCAGACUCCUACGGGAGGCAGCAGUGUGGAAUAUUGGACAAUGGGCGCAAGCCUGAUCCAGCCAUACCGCGUGGGUUAAGAAGGCCUUCGGGUUGUAAAGCCCUUUUUUUGGGAAAGAAAAGCAGCAGGUUAAUACCCCGCUGUUCUGACGGUACCCAAAGAAUAAGCACCGGCUAACUUCGUG
rnacentral:rRNA from 1 species